ACCUGGAGGAAGGUGGGGAUGACGUCAAAUCAUCAUGCCCCUUAUGCUUAGGGCUACACACGUGCUACAAUGGGUAGUACAGAGGGUUGCCAAGCCGUAAGGCGGAGCUAAUCCCUUAAAGCUACUCUCAGUUCGGAUUGUAGGCUGAAACUCGCCUACAUGAAGCUGGAGUUACUAGUAAUCGCAGAUCAGAAUGCUGCGGUGA
rnacentral:rRNA from 1 species